UGGGGAAUUUUGGACAAUGGGCGAAAGCCUGAUCCAGCAAUGCCGCGUGUGUGAAGAAGGCCUUCGGGUUGUAAAGCACUUUUGUCCGGAAAGAAAUCCUUGGCUCUAAUACAGUCGGGGGAUGACGGUACCGGAAGAAUAAGCACCGGCUAACUACGUGCCAGCAGCCGCGGUAAUACGUAGGGUGCAAGCGUUAAUCGGAAUUACUGGGCGUAAAGCGUGCGCAGGCGGUUUGCUAAGACCGAUGUGAAAUCCCCGGGCUCAACCUGGGAACUGCAUUGGUGACUGGCAGGCUAGAGUAUGGCAGAGGGGGGUAGAAUUCCACGUGUAGCAGUGAAAUGCGUAGAGAUGUGGAGGAAUACCGAUGGCGAAGGCAGCCCCCUGGCAAGUACUGACGCUCAUGCACGAAAGCGUGGGGAGCAAACAGGAUUAGAUACCCUGGUAGUCCCACGCCCUAAACGAUGUCAACUAGUUGUUGGGGAUUCAUUUUCCUUAGUAACGUAGCUAACGCGUGAAGUUGACCGCCU
rnacentral:rRNA from 1 species